CUUCCCAGCUCUUUCAGUCUGUUACCUGCUGGGCAAAUUCCAAAUCCGGCCUUUCACCCAGAUGAGUAUCUUCCCCCGCAGACCAAGAAGUAAAUACUGUAUCAGUUUGGUUCUCUUUCCUUGCCUUAAUUUUCGCCAAGCACUAAUCAUGUACUAUGCCACUUAAUAGACUCGUCUCGUUAAUUUUCUGCCUCCUCCAGCUAAAAUAGGCCUCUUCAAGCUGCUUCCUUUGUUCAGCGAAUAGACAGCUACUAUUAUGUGCAGGGAACUCUUGUGUGCUGGAUUUACAAAGAUGAACAAGGCAGCUAGUCUGAAUUGGCUUUCUGUCAUUUGCAACCCGAAGAUUUUGGACUAAUAUCCCUGCCAAAGGAAAAACUUCAGCUGGAACUCCAUGUCUCCCUGUCAUGAAGGAAUGAGAAAAGCCAGUUUCCAGGACCACAGCAGCAACACCAAGAGGCUCUGGGAGAAGAGGGAUGCUAGUAUAGCUAUUAUAAAUGAAUUCCAUUCAGUUAAACAAAGAUCUUUGAUAAGAACAGUGGUAAACAGCAUAUAUUAUCUCUUCAGCUUUGCUCUGCUGGAGACUGAACAUCUCCAGAAAAAAAACAAAAUGAGCCAGGAAGAAUACAUUGUUGCUGAACUGUCGCACUAGAUUUGCAAACGAAAUAGAAGAACACAUCUCCUGA